rnacentral:rRNA from 1 species
GGACUGUUGGUGACGAGAGGGGGAGGGAAGAGUAAUACUUAUAUAACAUGACUCUGUGUGGGGGAGACCAUUGGAAACGAUGGCUACGACCGCAUAAAGUCUUUGGACCAGGAAGGGCUUUCGGGCUCUCGCGCAAAGAGUGGGCUAAUGGAGAUUAGCUUGUUGGUGAGGUAAAGGCUCACCAAGGAGACGAUCUCUAGCUGUUAUGAAAAGAAGAUCCACCCCCCUGCGACUGAGACACGGGCCAAACUCCUACGGAAGGCAGCAGGGCUGAAUAUUGCACGAUGGGGGCGACCCUGAUGCCUCCAUGCCGCGUGUGUGAAUAAGGCCUUCGGAUUGUGAAGCACUUUCAGUUGUGAGGAACGGUUGGCGCCUAAUACCCAUCCGCUGUGACGCUAGCAACAGAAGAAGCACCGCCUAACUCCGUGCCAGCAGCCGCGGUAAUACGGAGGGUGCGAGCGUUAAUCGGAAUUACUGGUCGUACUCCGCACUGCCUCCUAUAUAUCCUGCUAGAUGUGAAAGCCCGAGGGCUCAACCUAUUCAAUAGCAUUUAGGAACUGUAUGACUAUAGUCUUGGAGAGGCCAGUGGA